rnacentral:lncRNA from 1 species
UAGGAGGUGUGGGCUGUUUGUGCCUCCAGCUCAUGCAGUACCCACCCCUCUUCCUCCAGAAGCUCACGGAGAAUCUUGCCUCCUCUGUUGCCAUCCUGUCCCUGCGGACCUGCCGGCUGCUUCCGGUCAGAGCAAACAAAGGUACUUCAUCAUCGGCUGCACGCAUUCCCUGGUGACAGAGGACUUGGCUGCCACUGUCUGAGGAAAGAAGGCAGCGCAGAGGCAAGUGCAUCAAACUGGAAAAUAUUUACAUCGCUCCCAACUGCCCAGUGUAGCAGAGGUGGGCCCAUGAUUUGAGAUCCCUUCGAGGGAUCUGAGCUACAAGCCAAACAACCCUCUUCCUAUUUCAAGUCACUCUUGAGAACGCCUCUACUCUGUGUAAAACCAACUGGGGGACCAGCGGGAUGGCUGAUAGCUGUCAGAAGCCUGUGUGUAUUGGCACAGGGUGGCAGAAGGUGUCAGGGGCUGGAGUGCCAAGGUCCUGAAUGGCAUGGCCAUUCCUAAGCUGUGUCCCUGAACAGAUGACUAACCUUUGAAUUUCCACCUCUGCAUCUGUUUGAGGGGCCUCAUGCCUACUUGACAGUUUUGUUCCAAUGACCUAAUGAACUAAUGGCUGCAAAAGUGCCCCAAACACCACAAUGCUUCCCGUGUGAUCAGGAAUCAUAGUUGUUGGUAAAAUGCAAUUCUGUCUUUUCUCACUCACAUACUGACAUCUGCUCAGGAGGGCUCUCUGCCAUAAAGUACUCAUUACCGUUCUAUAUAGCUGACACCCAAGACUGGUGAUGUGGGGCCUGGGAGUGUCACAAUGUGAAAGACAUCUGAGUAGUCACCUUGGUAUUCCAGAGCUUGUGCAGGGCUAGCCUGUGCAAAACACUGUACGUGUGUGAGCACUUUCCUAGGGAGAGGGACCAUGGACUUUACUAGAUUCUCAAAUGAGACUGGGACGCCCAAGGGUGAAGCACCCCUAGUCUAGGGAGAAAGGACUCUACUAAGGAACGCAGAGACCCAACUCUGCCUCUAACUGGCCAGUGAUGGGC